rnacentral:rRNA from 1 species
GACGAACGCUGGCGGCGUGCUUAACACAUGCAAGUCGAACGGAAAGGCCCUGCUUGCAGGGUACUCGAGUGGCGAACGGGUGAGUAACACGUGGGUGAUCUGCCCUGCACUUCGGGAUAAGCCUGGUAAACUGGGUCUAAUACCGGAUAGGAGCCAUUUUUAGUGUGAUGGUUGGAAAGUUUUUUCGGUGUAGGAUGAGCUCGCGGCCUAUCAGCUUGUUGGUGGGGUAAUGGCCUACCAAGGCGGCGACGGGUAGCCGGCCUGAGAGGGUGGACGGCCACAUUGGGACUGAGAGACGGCCCAGACUCCGACGGGAGGCAGCAGGGGGGAAGAUUGCACAAUGGGCGCAAGCCUGAUGCAGCGGCGCCGCGGGGGGGAUGACGGCCUUCGGGUUGUAAACUCCAUUCGCUAGGGACGAAGCUUUUUGUGACGGUACCUAGAGAAGAAGCACCGGCUAACUACGUG